GUUAUUUAUUAUUUCCUAUUAGUGAGCAACAUAUCCUGUGUUAACUUUCAUAAUUAGUAGGUCAAGUGUAACUGUCAUCAGAAUACACAUCAUAGCCUUUUAAUUUUGGAGGAAAAUACUGAAUACAGAAAUAGUUUGAUCGUCCUUGCCUCCAAAUCACCUUUUGCACUUCAUUUGCCUGUGCUUUAACAGUCUUCUUUAAGUACACAAUAAUAGCAGAGAGGCAUUUAUUUUGUGUUUCUAUUAGAAUUCUCCUAGCUGGGAUAUACAGUGAUGGAAAUAGCCCUCUGUCACUUUUCAAUGUCAAAGAGGUAGACACAAGGAAAGAGGCCAGGCGUACAUAAUCCUUCCUAGAAAUACAAGACUAACUAUAUCCAGUACCUGAAGGGGGCGUACAGGGAAAACUAGGGAGGGACUUUUUAUAACAGCACGUAGUGACAGGAUCAGGAAAAAUGGCUUUAAACUGGAAGAGGAUAGAUUUAGACUAGAUGCUAGAAAGAAAUUCUUUACUGCAAGGAUGGUGAGACACUGGCACAGGUUGCCCAGAGGCUGUGGAUGCCCCUCCCUGGAGGCAUUCAAGGCAAGGCUGGAUGGGGCUGCGAGCAACCUGGUCUAGAGGGACAUGUUCCUGCCUGUAGCAGGGGGUUGGAACUAGAUGGUCUUAAAGGUCUCUUCCAACACAAACCAUUCCAUGAUUCUAUAAUUCUAUGAAUUGUUUUGUAAUCUUUCUGUGCAGAGGAGUAUAAAGAGUGCUGAAACACUGCACAAUACUACACUGCUAGAUUAAAAGUAGC
rnacentral:lncRNA from 1 species